rnacentral:rRNA from 1 species
UACAGAGGGUGCAAGCGUUAAUCGGAAUUACCGGGCGUAAAGCGUGCGCAGACGGUCUCGUAAGUCGGGUGUGAAAUCCCCGGGCUCAACCUGGGAAUUGCAUUCGAAACUGCGAGGCUAGGGUACGGAAGAGGGAAGCGGAAUUUCUGGUGUAGCGGUGAAAUGCGUAGAUAUCAGAAGGAACAUCAGUGGCGAAAGCGGCUUCCUGGUCCAGUACCGACGUUCAGGCACGAAAGCGUGGGGAGCAAACAGG